rnacentral:rRNA from 1 species
UACGUACCGGACGAACGUUAUUCGGAAUUACUGGGCUUAAAGGGUGCGUAGGCGGCGCGGAAAGUUGGGUGUGAAAUCCCUCGGCUCAACCGAGGAACUGCGCCCAAAACUACCGUGCUCGAGGGAGAUAGAGGUGAGCGGAACUUAGGGUGGAGCGGUGAAAUGCGUUGAUAUCCUAAGGAACACCGGUGGCGAAAGCGGCUCACUGGAUCUCUUCUGACGCUGAGGCACGAAAGCUAGGGUAGCAAACGGG